rnacentral:rRNA from 1 species
GUGAGGAAUUUUCCGCAAUGGGCGAAAGCCUGACGGAGCAAUGCCGCGUGAAGGAUGAAGGCCUAUGGGUUGUAAACUUCUUUUCUUAGAGAAGAAUAUUGACGGUAUCUGAGGAAUAAGCACCGGCUAACUCCGUGCCAGCAGCCGCGGUAAUACGGAGGGUGCAAGCGUUAUCCGGAAUCAUUGGGUUUAAAGGGUCCGCAGGCGGGCUAUCAAGUCAGAGGUGAAAUCCCACAGCUUAACUGUGGAACUGCCUUUGAAACUGAUGGUCUUGAAUUAAGUGGGCGUUGGCGGAAUAUGACAUGUAGCGGUGAAAUGCAUAGAUAUGUCAUGGAACACCGAAAGCGAAGGCAGCUAACGAUACUUAUAUUGACGCUCAUGGACGAAAGCGUGGGUAGCGAACAGGAUUAGAAACCCGUGUAGUCC